ACCUCUGAAAAUCAGCUAUCUACUAUUGGUGUCAACAUAUUGCUCCAAAUUCCCACAAUCUAAUUAGUGUUCUAUGCAGACCAACACUUUUGGGUUUUGGCUAAUCUCCCAAUAGUUCCUAAAUAGUAAUCUUGUCUGACCAUUGACCUUUUGAGUUCUGCCUUAAAAGAGCAUCUCCAUGCAGAUAUAUAACAUGACGGUCUUGGAUUCUUAUGGGUUUGAUAAUUUAGUUUUUUAUAUGAUCAUAUGAGGUCAUAUUUUAUUCGAGCAAGUAUGGCAUAUAUUUGUAGCACUAGGACGUUGCAGGUACAAAAAGGGAAAAUGUUAGCACUCUUAGAAUUAGCAUGUAAAUUUUGGAUGAGCUCCUAAUUAAUAUCAUAACCAUGAUGUAAAUGCGAGCAUCCAGCCAGGAUUUACCAGCAAGAACAAACAAUAGAGACAUGGUCUUUGUCAGUUAUGCACAUAAAAAAAACUCAUGUAGGAGUCUGACUUGGAUAUUUAGGUGUAGUCCAACACAAAUGAAGAGAGAGUAUAACUUGAUGCUAACUACUCAUGAAUGGAAACAAAAACACCAGAGAGAAUAAUUAACCUUUCCCCCUAGCUCAAGUUUUUAAUUGAGAUGGCAUUUCAUCCUAUUAUUCUGGUUUUAUACGUGUUGCUCAUGGAUUUAAUUGAUUUUGCACAGGCCGAGAUAAUACUGAUGCUCAAUCAUUCUUGUGGUUGGUUUCCUUUAUGCCUGUACAAAUAUACGUGUUCAGAUUCUGGUUCAAUUGCUCAAUACAUUUGGGUCAUUUUUCUCUAUAGUUGUUAAGUGGUUGAUCCACUCGAUGCACAUACGGACAUAUGUGUUCAGUUUAUAUGGUUUAAUUGCUUAAUUAUUUUGGCCAUUUUUCUAUUUUAGUUGAUAAGCAGUUAAUUAAGGUAAUGCGAUGCUCUUCUGGUUUUUGUUAUCUUAUCAAUGGAUUCAUUGGUGCUAAGAACAUGUACUCUCUCUGGAUGUAUGAUGCAACCGUUUCCUACUGUUAAUUAGUGAUACUUACACUCUUGAUUAUGUCAGAUUAUGCCAGAUGUGACCUUCUACUUAACUGUAAUAUUUAGUCGGUAUAAAAUGCUGACGUCCAGAAAUAUCAAGGAUUUUGAGAUGCAUAUUUAGGCUUGAAACUAAUAUUGCCAAAACUUUUGUACAUAUAACGACCCCUUUUACAUUUUUUCUGCUUCUAGGUGAUGAUGUACAGACCUUCUGAACUAGGCUAAACAUACGAGAUAUCCAGGAGAAAAGGCAGCUAAAUGAUGGCUUUAUUUAGUUCUAUUUAUCUACACAAAGAUCAUGUGUGCUCAAGUACAAAAGGAAAUCCUGGUAUGAACUGGAUAUAUUGUUGAAUCUUCUGGUGUUUUUACAAUGAUUAAGAAAGCAUCGGUACGCUUGAAGGUCCAUGCUCUAGCUGCCGCAGCCUACAGGCCAUACGUCAUUGUUUGAUCACUCAGGAAAAGGAUCUCCAACCAGGGUGCAUCAAGGCAUAUGCUAGGGGAAACAAAUCGCGAACAAGCUUGGUGAACCCUCCGUGGAGGAGGCCGCCUGGCUGUGGAGGUCUAAAGACAAUGUUGAUGCCAUGGUGGACAAGAUGCAAGAUCUAGAAGCCGUUUGCACGAUGCGUAUCAUAGCUGCAUCGAGGAGGAACAGACGGGGAAGUUGUUGGGCGGUGGCCCACCAAAUUCAAGUCUGUCACCUAUGACGCCGAGGACGUGCUGAACGAUUUGGACGCUGCAGAUGUAUGUAUUAAAGAAGAGCCAAUCAAAGGUACUCCCUUGGUGCACUCUCCGGGUCAAAGAUCUGGUCUACCAACAAGUGAUUCACGUGGACAUGGACUUUUCACUUUCUGGAGUAACACACUGACAUGGCAUGUAUUGGACACAGUUAUGUUAUCUACGAAGGCAUUCUUAGUUUCUUGACAUGUUAACCUAUUGAAUUUGAAGCGCAAGCGCAACCUACCGUGCCAGGUUA